CCUAGGCAGAAUCUAAUCACCACUCUUUGAAGUUUGGCAGAAAUAUGUAGAUGCUGACAUUAAACAUUAGGGAUAGUUUAAUUCAUGGAUCUCUACAAAGCAUUUCAGUGAACAAUACUGUUUAUGUUCCUCGACAUAUUUCCUGUCUACACCUCAGUUUUACAAUGAGUAAUACAAGAGAAAAGACCUUCAUAUACAUGAAGGCAGUAAACAAGAAUAUCAAACAGAUCAAAUAAUCAAGUCUCCAUUCCCUGUAGGGACCUUGUCUGCAUUAGCAGAUGCCUGGUACUGUAGCUUAUGGUGCUUCUGUGGACAUAGUAACAUUAGAGAGUUGUAGAGGACACAGAAAAUGCCUUAAGACUGCAGUUCUUGAUUGAUGUAAAUAUCUAUUCUAGAGGGUAGCAGUAUUGGGGUACAUUGGAUUGAAGAUACAUUUGUGUAAAUCCCCUGCUGGGCCAUGAAGCCUGACUAGGAUGCCACAUAAUGGCAAAGAUGAGAUGUCAUUCCACUAAUAAUUACACAAUCAUCCCUUAUUAUUACGACUUUCAUCUACAUGAUAUUUAUACAAUGUCAUGUCAUAACUGAUCAUCUUAAAGCUGGAAUCCUUAUUGGUGAAACAGCCACAACCAUUUGCGAUAUUACAACAAAGAAGUUACUGCAAACAACAAACACAGUUUUUUCAACUAUGACAUCAUUUAACACAUCAUAGAAGAGUACUGCAAAACAUUUUUUACCAUGCUACGUGAUGCUCCUCAUCUCAGCAACAAAAACAAUAACAAUGGUGCUGGGGUGGCCAUUGGCGCCGUUUUCAUCUUUAGUUCACAUCCUCUACAGUAGUCCUGCAGAUUUGUCCCGUGAUGUGAGGUAUCUUCCUCUCGUAUCGCUCCAUUUGGAAGCUAACACAUUUGGACUGCACUCCCACACUCUCACAAAAUUUGAUGGUCACUUUUCCUGGUACCAAUAAUGGUUCCUUGAACUGGGCGGUGACAGAGAUGGGGGCUCUAAUGGCAUCAACUCCUGUGGAAUCAAUGGAUGUUCGGAAAAUAUCAAUCAAGGUGAUAGAUUGAGGAUAAAUAGAGUAUGGACAGCAACAACAACAAAAAUACUGUUUGAG
rnacentral:lncRNA from 1 species